GAUGAAGAACGCAGCGAAAUGCGAUAGGUAAUGUGAAUUGCAGAAUUCAGUGAAUCAUCGAAUCUUUGAACGCACAUUGCGCCCGUCAGUAUUCUGGCGGGCAUGCCUGUUCGAGCGUCAUUACGCCCCUCAAGUCCCCUGUGGACUUGGUGUUGGGGAUCGGCGAGGCUGGUUUUCCAGCACAGCCGUCCCUUAAAUUAAUUGGCGGUCUCGCCGUGGCCCUCCUCUGCGCAGUAGUAAAACACUCGCAACAGGAGCCCGGCGCGGUCCACUGCCGUAAAACCCCCCAACUUUUUAUAGUUGACCUCGAAUCAGGUAGGACUACCCGCUGAACUUAAGCAUAUCAAUAAGCGGAGGA
rnacentral:misc_RNA from 1 species